rnacentral:rRNA from 1 species
AUUGAACGCUGGCGGCAGGCCUAACACAUGCAAGUCGAACGAGUGGCGGACGGGUGAGUAAUGUCUGGGACACUGCCUGAUGGCGGGGGAUAACUACUGGAAACGGUCUCUCAUCCCGCAUACCAUCAGAUGUGCCCAUAUGGGAUUAGCUAGUUGGUGGGGUAACGGCUCACCAGGGCGACGAUCCCGAGCUGGUCUGAGAGGAUGAAAAGCAACACUGGAACUGAGACACGGUCCAGACUCCUACGGGAGGCAGCAGUGGGGAAUAUUGCACAAUGGGCGCAAGCCUGAUGCAGCCAUGCCGCGUGUAUGAAGAAGGCCUUAGGGUUGUAAAGUACUUUCAGCGGGGAGGCGUUACCCGCAGAAGAAGCACCGGCUAACUCCGUGCCAGCAGCCGCGGUAAUAC